rnacentral:SRP_RNA from 1 species
GCUGGGCAUGGUGGCGUGUGCCUGUAGUCCCAGCUACUCAGGAGGCGGAGGCAGGAGAAUCACUUGAACCCAGGAGGUGGAGGUUGCAGUGAGCUGAGAUCGCGCCAUUGCACUCCAGCCUGGGUGACAGAGUGAGACUCUGUCUUGA